GAAAUUUGGAUUAAUGCCCCAUAGCUCCACUGAUUCGCAUGUUUUAGUGGAUAAAGUUUCUCCCCNUAAAAGAUGGGCAUGCGUGGCAUUAGCUAGUUGGUGAGGUAACGGCUUACCAAGGCGACGAUGCCUAGGGGUUCUGAGAGGAUUAUCCCCCACACUGGUACUGAGACACGGACCAGACUCCUACGGGAGGCAGCAGUGAGGAAUAUUGGUCAAUGGGCGCAAGCCUGAACCAGCCAUCCCGCGUGCAGGAUGACGGCCCUAUGGGUUGUAAACUGGUUUUAUAUGCCAAGAAACCCAUCUACGUGUAGAUGGCUGACGGUAGUAUAUGAAUAAGCAUCGGCUAACUCCGUGCCAGCAGCCGCGGUAAUACGGAGGAUGCAANCGUUAUCCGGAUUCAUUGGGUUUAAAGGGUGCGUANGCGGUCUUUUAAGUCAGUGGUGAAAUCCUGCGGCUCAUCCGUAGAACUGCCAUUGAAACUGAAAGACUUGAAUACACCACAGGUUAGCGGAAUGUGUAGUGUAGCGGUGAAAUGCUUA
rnacentral:rRNA from 1 species